GAUGAACGCUGGCGGCGUGCCUAAUACAUGCAAGUCGAGCGAACGGACGAGAAGCUUGCUUCUCUGAUGUUAGCGGCGGACGGGUGAGUAACACGUGGAUAACCUACCUAUAAGACUGGGAUAACUUCGGGAAACCGUAGCUAAUACCGGAUAAUAUUUUGAACCGCAUGGUUCAAAAGUGAAAGACGGUCUUGCUGUCACUUAUAGAUGGAUCCGCGCUGCAUUAGCUAGUUGGUAAGGUAACGGCUUACCAAGGCAACGAUGCAUAGCCGACCUGAGAGGGUGAUCGGCCACACUGGAACUGAGACACGGUCCAGACUCCUACGGGAGGCAGCAGUAGCGAAUCUUCCGCAGUGGGCGAAAGCCUGACGGAGCAACGCCGCGUGAGUGAUGAAGGUCUUCGGAUCGUAAAACUCUGUUAUUAGGGAAGAACAUAUGUGUAAGUAACUGUGCACAUCUUGACGGUACCUAAUCAGAAAGCCACGGCUAACUACGUG
rnacentral:rRNA from 1 species